rnacentral:rRNA from 1 species
CUAGUUGUAUUAACUAUUAGUUAAUACAAGAUCGACUAUGUCGACUAAAGUUCUAGGUAGAACAAUGAUGAUGACAAUUUUCUACCUAUAUGUCUUGACCAAAUCUCGUGCCAGCAGUCGCGGUAAUACGUGAAAGACUAGUGUUAUUCAUCUUUAAUAGGUUUAAAGGGUACCUAGACGGUUUAUCUAGCCCAAAACAGGGUACGGAUUUUCUAGAGUUUUAUGUGAGGAGGGGAGUACUCAUAGAGUAGAGAUGAAAUUUUGUGAUACUAUGGGGAAACUGGUGGCGGCGAAAGCAACCUUCUAUGUAUAAACUGACGUUGAGGGACGAAGGCUUGGGUAGCAAAUAGGAUUAGAUACCCUAGUAGUCCAAGCAGACAAUUCUGAAUGCCAUAGAUUAGAUUUUUUUGGUCUAUAAAUGAAAGUGUAAGCAUUCCACCUUAGGAGUAAUGUGGCAACACAGGAACUGAAAUCAUUAGACCGUUUCUGAAACCAGUAGUGAAGUAUGUUAUUUAAUUUGUUAGUCCUCAAAAAACCUUACCACAACUUGAAUGUUAUUUAAUUAAUACAAGCGUUGCACGGCUGUCUUCAGUUAAUGUCGUGAGAUUUUGGUUAACUCCCUCAAUUAACGUAAACCCUUACUUUAUU